rnacentral:rRNA from 1 species
AGGAUUAACGCUGGCGGCGUGCAUGAAACAUGCAAGUCGAGCGCGGUGUGAUGCGGGGUAACCCAAUUCACAUCUAGCGGCGAACGGGUGAGUAACACGUGAGCAACCUACCUUUGAGUUGGGGAUAGCCCUGGGAAACCAGGAUUAAUACCUGAUGUGGUCACAACAGGACAUCCUGAUGUGAGUAAAGGCGCAAGCCGCUCAAUGACGGGCUCGCGGCCUAUUAGCUUGUUGGUGGGGUAACGGCCUACCAAGGCGAUGAUGGGUAGCUGGUCUGAGAGGACGAUCAGCCACACUGGGACUGAGACACGGCCCAGACUCCUACGGGAGGCAGCAGUUAGGAAUUUUCCGCAAUGGGCGAAAGCCUGACGGAGCAACGCCGCGUGAGUGAUGAAGACCUUAGGGUUGUAAAGCUCUGUCGGAGGGGAAGAACACAAUGACGGUACCCUCCAAGAAGCCCCGGCUAACUACGUGCCAGCAGCCGCGGUAAU